rnacentral:misc_RNA from 1 species
UUCUGCUUGUAUGUGGCUGUUCCAUUGAUCCAGCCAGUAUCAGAGAGAUUUUAAAUACACAACCGUGGCCUUUUCUCCCUACUUUGACGGAUGAAAUGGAAUACACAGAUUUAGGCAAGCUAAAUAUCAGAGCUUCUGAUGUUUUUACCUUGCAGGGCUGAUCAGUAAAAGUUAGCCUUAUUAGACAGGACCCACCCUUGCAUAGGUCAUUCUAAAACCUCAUCGUGUCGCGAAUUUGCUACACAAAAAUGAGACAUUAUGUAACUGAAAAAUUGUAAAUAUAAUUAUCCUGAAAAGGUUUCGCUUUGUUUGAAUUCUGCACAAAGAAACUGUUCAAUUCUACCGGGUGGAUGCGAAUAUUUGCAUUGUGAUAAACACUUUUCACAUGUAAGCGGUUGGGGGAGCCAAACAUGUAGGUCUGUCUAGUCGACAGGAACAUUCAGUUUUCAGAUCUGCAUUGCAGGUACAUCGGAUUGAAUUGUCAUCUUGGGCUCUAUUCUGGAAGAAAAACACUUCAUGGAGUACGGAAAAAAUCGAAGGAUGGAGUUGCAGAUGAUAAGGUGGGCAUCCCUCAAUCAGAUGACAGGGUAUCCCUCAGUUUUAAUCAAGUCUUAGGCGCGAUAAGGAGCCAAUGAUCGGGAAACGAUUCCACAUCCCUCUCUCGAAAGGACACAUGACCGCCUGACUUGACGGUAUGAAAGGACAACGAUUCAUUAGCUCGAGAAUCACAAGCUAUUUAUUCUUCGAAAUAAAUGA